UAGAGGGUGCCUUUCGGGGAGCCGUAAGACAGGUGCUGCAUGGCUGUCGUCAGCUCGUGUCGUGAGAUGUUCGGGUUAAGUCCCGCAACGAGCCGCAACCCUUGCCAUUAAUUGCCAUCAUUUAGUUGGGCACUUUAAUGGGACUGCCGGUGACAAACCGGAGGAAGGUGGGGAUGACGUCAAGUCCUCAUGGCCCUUAUGGCCAGGGCUUCACACGUAAUACAAUGGUCGGUACAGAGGGUUGCCAAGCCGCGAGGUGGAGCCAAUCCCAGAAAGCCGAUCGUAGUCCGGAUUGUAGUCUGCAACUCGACUACAUGAAGUCGGAAUCGCUAGUAAUCGCGGAUCAGCAUGUCGCGGUGAAUACGUUCCCGGGCCUU
rnacentral:rRNA from 1 species